rnacentral:tRNA from 1 species
GGGGUUGUGGCUCACCGUUAGAGCACUCGCCUGGCACAUGUGAGACCCUGGGUUCAAUCCUCAGCACCACA